rnacentral:rRNA from 1 species
UACGAAGGGGGCUAGCGUUGUUCGGAAUCACUGGGCGUAAAGGGUGCGUAGGCGGGUCUUUAAGUCAGGGGUGAAAUCCUGGAGCUCAACUCCAGAACUGCCUUUGAUACUGAGGAUCUUGAGUCCGGGAGAGGUGAGUGGAACUGCGAGUGUAGAGGUGAAAUUCGUAGAUAUUCGCAAGAACACCAGUGGCGAAGGCGGCUCACUGGCCCGAUACUGACGCUGAGGCACGAAAGCGUGGGGAGCAAACAGG